GAUGAACGCUGGCGGCGUGCCUAAUACAUGCAAGUCGAGCGAACGGACGAGAAGCUUGCUUCUCUGAUGUUAGCGGCGGACGGGUGAGUAACACGUGGAUAACCUACCUAUAAGACUGGGAUAACUUCGGGAAACCGGAGCUAAUACCGGAUAAUAUUUUGAACCGCAUGGUUCAAUAGUGAAAGACGGUCUUGCUGUCACUUAUAGAUGGAUCCGCGCUGCAUUAGCUAGUUGGUAAGGUAACGGCUUACCAAGGCAACGAUGCAUAGCCGACCUGAGAGGGUGAUCGGACACACUGGAACUGAGACACGGUCCAGACUCCUACGGGAGGCAGCAGUAGGGAAUCUUCCGCAAUGGGCGAAAGCCUGACGGAGCAACGCCGCGUGAGUGAUGAAGGUCUUCGGAUCGUAAAACUCUGUUAUUAGGGAAGAACAUAUGUGUAAGUAACUGUGCACAUCUUGACGGUACCUAAUCAGAAAGCCACGGCUAACUACGUG
rnacentral:rRNA from 1 species